rnacentral:rRNA from 1 species
CAAUAAGCGGAGGAAAAGAAACUAACAAGGAUUCCCCUAGUAGCGGCGAGCGAAGCGGGAAGAGCUCAAAUUUAUAAUCUGGCACCUUCGGUGUCCGAGUUGUAAUCUCUAGAAAUGUUUUCCGCGUUGGACCGCACACAAGUCUGUUGGAAUACAGCGGCAUAGUGGUGAGACCCCCGUAUAUGGUGCGGACGCCCAGCGCUUUGUGAUACAUUUUCGAAGAGUCGAGUUGUUUGGGAAUGCAGCUCAAAUUGGGUGGUAAAUUCCAUCUAAAGCUAAAUAUUGGCGAGAGACCGAUAGCGAACAAGUACCGUGAGGGAAAGAUGAAAAGCACUUUGGAAAGAGAGUUAACAGUACGUGAAAUUGUUGGAAGGGAAACGCUUGAAGUCAGACUUGCUUGCCGAGCAAUCGGUUUGCAGGCCAGCAUCAGUUUUCCGGGAUGGAUAAUGGUAGAGAGAAGGUAGCAGUUUCGGCUGUGUUAUAGCUCUCUGCUGGAUACAUCUUGGGGGACUGAGGAACGCAGUGUGCCUUUGGCGGGGGUUUCGACCUCUUCACACUUAGGAUGCUGGUGGAAUGGCUUUAAACGACCCGUCUUGAAA